AGCUUUGCGUAGUGGCAGUAUCAUAGCCAAUGAGGUUUAUCCGAGGCACGAUUAUUGCUAAUUGAAAUAUCCUCUAUAAUUGACCAAAUACUCAAACAGAAUAUAAGUUUUUAGAGCACAUUGAAAUAACAUCAUGU